rnacentral:misc_RNA from 1 species
AAGUUUAAAUUUUUGUUUAAAGCUAGC